rnacentral:tRNA from 1 species
GCCCCUAUAGCUCAGCUGGUAGAGCGGCCGAUUUUUAAUCGGCGGGUUACUGGUUCGAAUCCAGUUAGGGGCA